rnacentral:rRNA from 1 species
GGGGUAAAGGCCUACCAAGACUAUGAUGUGUAGCCGGGCUGAGAGGUUGAACGGCCACAUUGGGACUGAGACACGGCCCAAACUCCUACGGGAGGCAGCAGUAGGGAAUUUUCGGCAAUGGAGGAAACUCUGACCGAGCAACGCCGCGUGAACGAUGAAGUAUUUCGGUACGUAAAGUUCUUUUAUUAGGGAAGAAUAAAUGAUGGAAAAAUCAUUCUGACGGUACCUAAUGAAUAAGCCCCGGCUAACUAUGUGCCAGCAGCCGCGGUAAUACAUAGGGGGCAAGCGUUAUCCGGAAUUAUUGGGCGUAAAGGGUGCGUAGACGGUUAAAUAAGUUUAUGGUCUAAGUGCAAUGCUCAACAUUGUGAUGCUAUAAAAACUGUUUAGCUAGAGUAAGAUAGAGGCAAGUGGAAUUCCAUGUGUAGUGGUAAAAUGCGUAAAUAUAUGGUGGAACACCAGUAGCGAAGGCGGCUUGCUGGGUCUUUACUGACGCUGAGGCACGAAAGCGUGGGGAGCAAACAGGAUUAGAUACCCUGGUAGUCCACGCCGUAAACGAUGAGUACUAAACGUUGGGUAAAACCAGUGUUGAAGUUAACACAUUAAGUACUCCGCCUGAGUAGUACGUACGCAAGUAUGAAACUUGAAGGAAUUGACGGGACUCCGCACAAGCGGUGGAUCAUGUUGUUUAAUUCGAAGGUACCCGAAAAACCUCACCAGGUCUUGACAUGCUUCUGCAAAGCUGUAGAAACACAGUGGAGGUUAUCAGUUGCACAGGUGGUGCAUGGUUGUCGUCAGCUCGUGUCGUGAGAUGUUGGGUUAAGUCCCGCAACGAGCGCAACCCUUAUUGUUAGUUACCAGCACGUAAUGGUGGGGACUUUAGCAAGACUGCCAGUGAUAAAUUGGAGGAAGGUGGGGACGACGUCAAAUCAUCAUGCCCCUUAUGACCUGGGCUACAAACGUGAUACAAUGGCUGUUACAAAGGGUAGCUGAAGCGCAAGUUUUUGGCGAAUCUCAAAAAAACAGUCUCAGUUCGGAUUGAAGUCUGCAACUCGACUUCAUGAAGU